rnacentral:rRNA from 1 species
UACGGAGGGUGCAAGCGUUAUCCGGAUUCACUGGGGUUAAAGGGUGCGUAGGGGGGCAGGUAAGUCAGUGGUGAAAUCUCCGAGCUUAACUUGGAAACUGCCGUUGAUACUAUCUGUCUUGAAUAUUGUGGAGGUGAGCGGAAUAUGUCAUGUAGCGGUGAAAUGCUUAGAUAUGACAUAGAACACCAAUUGCGAAGGCAGCUCGUUACACGAAGAUUGACUCUGAGGCACGAAAGCGUGGGGAUCAAACAGG